rnacentral:snoRNA from 1 species
GAGUUAGUGAUGAUUAUAAAAAUAAUUUCUCGUUCUAACUUGCUUAAUUUAGAGAUGACAAACCUUUUAUUACAAUCAUAGAAUCUGAACUUC